UACGGGGGGGGCAAGCGUUGUUCGGAAUUACUGGGCGUAAAGGGCGCGUAGGCGGCCUGCUAAGUCACACGUGAAAUCCCUCGGCUCAACCGGGGAACUGCGUGUGAUACUGAGGAUCUUGAGUCCGGGAGAGGUGAGUGGAACUGCGAGUGUAGAGGUGAAAUUCGUAGAUAUUCGCAAGAACACCAGUGGCGAAGGCGGCUCACUGGCCCGGUACUGACGCUGAGGCACGAAAGCGUGGGGAGCAAACAGG
rnacentral:rRNA from 1 species